ensembl:lncRNA
GGAUGCUAGCCUGACCCCCUUUGAAGUCACUCUAAUGAAGAGAGAGCCGCAUCUCUCCAACUUGAUAAGACAUCCCGAAACGGUCGGCGCUGCGUCCAGCGGAGAGGUUACAGAAGAUUACAGCUGUCUUAAACACAAACUUUGACAUUGUUCUCACUUUCUGGGAAUAAGGUCGUUUUUUUUUUUACCUUUUACAAAGUAGGUUAAUCUAAUAUUAAGAAGGGAAAAGCUGUGUGUUGGCCCCGGGCACUUGAGAUAUUUUGUGGACAGCCAAAACAUGAAGAUUCAGUGGGUUUGCGUGUCUCUCUUGGGGUUAGCUGUAUUGUUUGGGGAAUAUCGGGGGUCUGAAGUGAAAUUUAGCCGGCUGGAUCGCUGGGUCAAGACCGGCUUUCAGUACCUGAAGCUGAACCUGUGCCGCCGAGUGUCUUUGUUGGAGAGCGAGUGCAAACGAUUGUCUCACCUCCACCUAAGCUCCGUGGCCGUUUAUGUGUCAGAGUCCAACUCGGAAAAAGUGCUGGCUAUACUGCCCGAUUCCUACUCUUUCGAGGUCCUAGCGCCCAAACAGAACACUUAUUCCGUAGGUCCGGCCCUGGAGGAUGGGAAACGAAAUCAAAAUGUAUUCCCCGGUUCGAACACUCAUGACGCCGUGCUUGUGCUGGACCCAAGUCCCGGAGAAAGUUUCGGACACCCGGUUGUGCUUUUCUACGUGGACUUUAACGUGACCAAGAAGAGAUGUGGACACAUGGAUGGAAUAUACAUGGCAGGUGAGGAGUGUCUGACUCUCGCUCUGAAGACACGCUGUGUGAACCAGCUGAAGCGCCAGCGUAGCCGCAGCGACCGGCUGGUGGGGCGCAGUCGCGUGCGGAGGGGGAUCUCGGGGGGGUCACGGCCAUCAAGGACGGAUCGCAGCGGGGGGGUCUGUGAGAUCCACUUCCUGCCCCUAGUGGUGGGGGUCAGAGAUGGCAACCGAACCCAACGCCUACGAUGUGUGGAUCACCCGGACUUUGCCCCGUGUCCCCUGCCCCUGCCCCUGUCGAGCCCCAGUGUGCCCCUGUCCAGCUGUGAGCUCAGCAAGAACACGCGCCGCUGCCACCAGCAGCCCCUGGCAUCACAGCUCUCCUGCCGCCUCUACCAGACCUGUGACCACGCCGUGCUCCUGUCAGGUGGUUGGCAGGAGCAGAUCACAUACCAGCGGCAUGUGCAGAACCUGCAGCUCUUUUACAAGAUGCUGCGCAAUAAUGGCUUCCAUAAGGACCACAUCAAAACCUUCUUUGCAGGGAACGGCCAGGUUGCAGCCAAGGAGACGGAGGGCGUGUACUCGGCCACGGAGAAGGAGACCAUCAGGAGCCACGUGGCCUACGUGUGCCGCAAGCAGCACUGCGCCGACACCCUGGUGCUCUACCUCAACAGCCCCACCUGGAACGACGGAACCAUGCUGCUCUGGGACAGGAACCACAACGGCAUCGCGGACCUGAAGGAGCGCUACUCUGUUGGUGAGCUGCUGUCGGACCUGGCGGGGUGUCGUGCCCAGCGCGUGCUGCUGUUCGUGGAGCAGAGCUACAGCGGCGCCCUCAGCAAGAGGCUGCGGAGCUCCAGGAAGCACCAGAACGUGGUGCUGGUCAGCGCCCUGCCCUGGGUGGAAGCGGCACAGGCUUGGGCAUCACUGCAGCCCUCACACUGCCUCAUGGACCACCUCACCAAGAGUGCUGCGAUGCCUCGUCUGAGUGAGUCGGCACAGGGCCUGCUGAACGUCACCCUGGCGGGGGCUCCGUGUAAUGCCACCCCCCCUCUCACGGAGGCCGAGAUGCGCAGGGAGUUCAUGGGCUGCCAGAACCUGCCCACAGCCCUCUGGCACAGGGGGCAACGCCGCGGCAACUAAAACCAGAAACGCCUGACGAUGAACACACAUGAUACGCAUUAACGCACACACACACACAUAUGCAUUUACAGACCUACAGCCUUGCAUAUAGGAAGACGUGGACUCACACACGUCAGAUGUGAACUCCUACUAAAGUUGGCACAUAUACAUACAGAGAUUAUAUGCCCUCGUUGCACACCAAGGACACCCACAAAUGCACACACACACACACACACACGGACACAGACACACACAGUGUUCCUUAUCAUACCGCAGAUGAACCUGCUUUGUUUCUCCCUGUCUUUCUCCCGAGUCUUUUCUCUCCUAUAAACAUGUCUAGUUUGGGAUUAUAAAGGGACUUCUUCAGCACUUCUAAGUCUUAUCCAUCCAGCC